rnacentral:rRNA from 1 species
UCGCACGAGAAAGGGGCUUCGGCCCUGAGUAAAGUGGCGCACGGGUGAGUAACACGUGACUUAUCUACCCUCGAGUGGGGAAUAACCUAGAGAAAUCUGGGCUAAUACCGCAUAACACUUACGAGUCAAAGCAGCAAUGCGCUUGGGGAGGAGGUCGCGGCAGAUUAGCUAGUUGGCGGGGUAAUGGCCCACCAAGGCGAUGAUCUGUAUCCGGCCUGAGAGGGCGCACGGACACACUGGAACUGAAACACGGUCCAGACUCCUACGGGAGGCAGCAGUGGGGAAUUUUGCGCAAUGGGGGAAACCCUGACGCAGCAACGCCGCGUGGAGGAUGAAGUCUCUUGGGACGUAAACUCCUUUCGAUUGGGAAGAUAAUGACGGUACCAAUAGAAGAAGCCCCGGCUAACUUCGUGCCAGCAGCCGCGGUAAUACGAGGGGGGCAAGCGUUGUUCGGAAUUAUUGGGCGUAAAGGGCGCGUAGGCGGUUUGGCAAGUUCGGUGUGAAAUCUUCGGGCUCAACUCGAAGUCUGCAUCGAAAACUGCCGGGCUUGAGUAUGGGAGAGGUGAGUGGAAUUUCCGGUGUAGCGGUGAAAUGCGUAGAUAUCGGAAGGAACACCUGUGGCGAAAGCGGCUCACUGGACCAUAACUGACGCUGAGGCGCGAAAGCU